rnacentral:rRNA from 1 species
AGCAGCCGCGGUAAUUCCAGCUCCAAUAGCGUAUAUUAAAGUUGUUGCAGUUAAAAAGCUCGUAGUUGAAUUUCGGGAUCAAUGCGUCGGUCGUGCCUUCGGUACGUACUAGCGUCAUUGAUUCCUCCCUUCUGAAGAACCGUGAUGUCAUUAAUUUGGUGUUACGGGGAAUCAGGACUGUUACCUUGAAAAAUUAGAGUGUUUAAAGCAGGCUAACGCUUGAAUACAUUAGCAUGGAAUAAUGAAAUAGGACGUUCGAACCUAUUUUGUUGGUUUCUAGGAUCGACGUAAUGAUUAAUAGGGAUAGUUGGGGGCAUUAGUAUUCAAUUGUCAGAGGUGAAAUUCUUGGAUUUAUUGAAGACUAACUACUGCGAAAGCAUUUGCCAAGGAUGUUUUCAUUAAUCAAGAACGAAAGUUAGGGGAUCGAAGACGAUCAGAUACCGUCGUAGUCUUAACCAUAAACUAUGCCGACUAGGGAUCGGAUGAUGUUAAUUUUUUAAUGU